AGCUUCAUUCACACCUUUACAAUCAAGAUGAUGUUCAGACUGUCUGUUCUGCUGGCAGUGAUCUGUCUGCCAUGUUCUAGCAGCCAGUCCAUGGAGUCCAUUCCUUCCACCUCAGUGGUGAAAAGGCCUCAGGAAGUUCUGAGUCUGUCCUGCAGAGGAUCUGGAUUUGAUUUCAGUCAAUAUGGAAUGAACUGGAUCAGACAACCAGCAGGAAAAACACUGGAAUGGAUGGGAGCUAUUUCAGAUGAUGGAAGUAACACAGCUUAUUCAAGCAGAGUUGAUGGACGUAUAGAAAUCACCAGAGAAAACAGCAACAGCCUGGUGCAUCUGAAACUGUCUAACCUGAAGCCAGAGGACUCUGCUGUGUAUUACUGUGCUAGAAACGCACAGUGAUCAAUGUACCUGCAGAGGCUGUACAAAAACUCUUCACACAGCAGAAGACAGAGGUGAUGAGCUCUCUACACAGAAGCUGAUGGUAGUUUGUGAUUUCCUGUUUUUCAAGCUUUUUUCUGUAAAAUAUUUUGUUUCACAGAAAAAAAAAUAGUUUUUCCUAUUCCACUGGCUUUCAGAGAAUGUUUAACAAUGGAUCAGAGAGAAAAUCUUUGAUAAAAAUAAACAAACUAACAAAGUUUUAAUUAUUGUAUUUUUUUCACUCUUCCAAACUCUGCUUCCCUCCUUCCAGUUUGAUUCUUCAGUCUCAAACCUCAUGUCCUCAUUCACGUCUCCUCUGCCUCCUUGUGAUGGUUAAACUGAUUUAUCAUUCAGGAUUUUUGUUUCUAGAUCUAUUAUUGGUGCAGCCAAAACCCACAGUCUGUAA